rfam:Triticum aestivum genome assembly, contig: Triticum_aestivum_CS42_TGACv1_scaffold_222507_3B
GAGUUACUCCCUCCGUUCGGAAUUACUUGUCACAAAAAUGAAUGUAUCUACAAUUAAAAUACAUGUAGAUACAUUCAUUUCUUCGACGAGUAAUUCCGAACGAAGGGAAUACGAC